AUGAGAGGGAGGGAGAGAAGGGAGGAGAUGAGGGAGAAAGAGAGAGGAAAGAGGAGAGGGACGUGCAGGGGCGGACGGGAGAGGGUCACCGGAAGGAGCGCCCCGGCUCGUCGUUCACACCGCCCUGGAGGAAGAGGAGAGGGAGGUGCAGCAGUGGAUGGGAGAGGGCCACUGGAAGGAGCGUGGCCGGCGUCGUUCGCACCACGCGUGAGCAGAGAUGCCUCUAUACAGCCCUCAUGCCCGCAGGUCGGCAGGGGGAAGGUCCAGGUUGAGACCUUCAAGAUGGAUUUGAUGUUGCUAUUAUUUCAGUUUGUGGAAAGGGGAUGUGAUUCCAGCAAGACAGAGACGACGGCAAUGACAAGUGAGAUUUCUGUUAAGGAGUAUUAG
rnacentral:rRNA from 1 species